UCCUGGUUUGUUCCCUUCUUAUUUUACUAAAAAGCCAAUGAAGAUAUCAAACAAAGACUUGAGGAGCCACUCAUCGUUUGAGUCCACCUGCAGGUCUCUUAAUACUCAAGAAGCACAUGACCUGACCUGCAUGCUGCUGCCUUUAUUGCACUUGAAACCUCAUCACCUGGACUGGAUCCAGCUGCAAACUCAGAGGUAGAAUUUUGUGUGUUUGUUAUGGAUCUGUUGUUUUCAGGUUUUGAGUUGGUCUUCAUCAUCAUUGCUUUCACUGUCAUGUGCUUAUUUGGCCUGGCUGCUGUCUUCACACACAAUACAGAUCAUCAAGAUGACUACAUUCAGACAGAACAGAAGAUAAUGCGACAGAAGAAAAAACAGCGAGUUGUUACCAAAAUCAAUCAAGAGCUACCAUGAACAUAAACAAACACAUUUCAUACAAAUACAGAAUCGUUCCAUUGGUGUUCGUUGGAUUAAAAGGCCUGGCUCACCAAAUGCAGUUAACCAGUGGAUAGACUGUCUGAAGAUCUCUGACGGUGAAAAUGG